rnacentral:rRNA from 1 species
UAUUUCAAAGAUUAAGCCAUGCAUGUCUAAGCAUGAGCUAAAUCAUAGUGAAGCCGCGAAUAGCUCAUUACAAUAGCCGUUGUUUCUUGGAUCCUCAAUUUACUUGGAUACCUGUGGUAAUUCUAGAGCUAAUACAUGCGAGACUAAGAGCCGACCGUAAGGGACGCUUGCAUUUGUUAGAUCAAGACUAAUCGGCUUCGGCCGUUACUUGGUGACUCUAAAUAACUCAGCUGAUCGCACGGUCUAGUGCCGGCGACAUAUCUUUCAAGUGUCUACCUUAUCAACUGUCGAUGGUAGUUUAUGUGACUACCAUGGUUGUAACGGGUAACGGAGAAUCAGGGUUUGACUCCGGAGAGGGAGCCUGAGAAACGGCUACCACUUCUAAGGAAGGCAGCAGGCGCGCAAAUUACACAAUCUCAGCACGAGGAUGUAGUGACGAAACAUACCGAGGCGAUGCCCUUUCGGGUGCCGUCAUUGGAAUGAGUCGAAUCUAAAAAAUUCGGCAAGGAUCUAGUGGAGGGCAAGUCUGGUGCCAGCAGCCGCGGUAAUUCCAGCUCCGCAAGUGUAUAUCUAUGCUGUUGCGGUUAAAAAGCUCGUAGUUUGAUUCGCGUACUUAGCACGCAGUGUGGCCUUUCGGCUACUACUGUGAUGCGGUACAUUAUCGUCAGUUUGUCGUUGAUGCUCUUCAUUGGGUGUCAGCGGCGGCUGUCAAGUUUACUUUGAACAAAUUAAAGUGCUCAAAACAGGCGUUUCGCUUGUAUAGUUUUGCAUGGAAUAAUAGAAUAGGACUUACGUUCUAUUUUGUUGGUUUUCAGAACGAAAGUAAUGAUUAAGAGGGACAGAUGGGGUCAUUCGUACUUAUUCCGACGUUAGAGGUGAAAUUCUUGGAUCGUUGCAAGACGAACUACUGCGAAGGCAUUUGCCAAGAAUGUUUUCAUUAAUCAAGAACGAAAGUUAGAGGUUCGAAGGCGAUCAGAUACCGCCCUAGUUCUAACCGUAAACAAUGCAAACUAGUGAUCAGGUGACGUUUCAUACGACCCACCUGGGAGCUUACCGGAAACGAAAGUUUUCGUGUUCCGGGGGGAAUAUGUCUGCAAAGAUGAAACUUAAAGGAAUUGACGGAAGGGCACCACCAGGAGUGGAGCCUGCGGCUUAAUUUGACCCAACACGGGAAAACUCACCCGGCCCGGACACCGUAAGGAUUGACAGAUUGAGAGCUCUUUCUUGAUUCGGUGGGUGGUGGUGCAUGGCCGUUCUUAGUUGGUGGAGCGAUCUGUCUGGUUUAUUCCGAUAACGAACGAGACCGUGACCUACUAAAUAGUGUGCACAUCACUUUCGUGUGCAUCACUUCUUAGAGGGAUAAGCGUUAUUGAAGACGCAUGAAAUACAGCAAUAACAGGUCUGUGAUGCCC